CUCCCCUCCCCGAUGUCCCUCCUAUCGUCUGGACAGAUAGAGUAUCCAUGGGGUCCAGCAUUGCUGGUAUUUGUCCAUUUUGUCCCUGAGUGUCGCCGUGAGCCUCUCCAUCUCGUGUAUCUCUUCCACUUUGUCCAUCCACUGCUGAAUGGUAGGCACCUGGGGAGAUCGCCAUCGAACUGGGAUCAUGAGUUUGGCGGCGUUGAGGAGGUGCUUGGUUAAGGAGGAUUUAUAUCGUGAAAUGGGCAUCGGGGUAUGGUGAAGCAGCAUCCAGAAGGCUGAAAAGGAAGGUCGCUGUCCGUUACCUCUUGUAUCGUCUUGUGAAUUUCCUGCAAGAAUGGGGAGAUCUUAUCACAUGACCACCAGAUGUGUAGAGCUGUACCCGGCCGUCCCCCGCAUCUCCAGCACGUAUCCGGGAUGUCAGGUAGCAUACGGUGUAGCCUGUCUGGGGUCCGGUACCAUCCGGUGAGCAGUUUGUAAUUCAACUCCUGCAUUUUAGAGCACAUGGAACUUUGAUGCGUCAGUAUGUAUAUUUUCGCCCAUUCGGGAUCAGUGAGUGUGAUUCCCGUGGCUUUCUCCCAUUGUGCAGCGUGUUUUGCCGGUUCCAGUGGGGUUGUCGCUAUUAGCAGGGCAUAUAAGAGUGAGAUCCCCCUAGGGGGACGUGUCCUAUUUGUGCACAGUCCCUCAAACUCUGUCAGGGGUCUGUGCAAGAGGUGUUUCCCGUUUUGUGCCUUAUAGUAUGACUUGACUUGGAAAUACCGUAACCUAUCUAAGGGAGUCGGGAUCCUGUCCCCCAAUAGGUCUGGUAGUUGUUUGAGAUCGUCCUGUGUGCACCACUGCUGCAUAUAGGACCAGUCAGUGCCCCUGAACGCGAGAAGGUCCGGUGUGCUAGACCUCCCGCCACCUCCGGGUUGUGCGCCACUGGGGUCAGAGGCCCUGGUACAGUGGUGAGCGUAAGUUUCAUCCUUAUCGCGCACCAGAUCUUCAGGGUCGCACCUAUGAAUGGAUGGUGCUGUGCUAAUGUGCCUCUGAUAGGCUCGUAUCUCCAAAUUAAAGCCGGGAGCGCCCCUUCCAUCUGGGCUCUUUCCAUGUGUAUCAAGGUCUUGGUUGUCCUGGACACAUGCCAUUCCACUAUGCGCUGUAGAUGUGUGGCCCUGUGGUAAUUCCGGACUGAGGGUAGUCCCACCCCUCCCUGUGCCUUCGGCCUAUGGAGCAGAGUUUUCCUGAUUCGAGAUAAUUGGUUUCGCCAGAUGAACUGCGAAAUGUCAGCAUCCAGUUGUUGGAAGAAGGACGUGGGCAGGCAAAUUGGUAUUGUUUGGAAGAGGUAAAGUAGUCGAGAGAGGAGAUUCAUCUUAAUGGUGUUCAUUCUGCCAAACCAUGAGACACAUAGGCCAAACCACCGUAGCAUAUCCCUUUUUAGCGUCGGUAGGAGCGGAGCGAAAUUGUGGGUAUAUAGCUGGGUGAGGUCCGCAGUUAACCAGAUACCUAAGUAUUUCAGUUUGGUCUCACACCACAUGAAUGGGAACUGUGUUCGUAGGUGAGUGGUCUCCCCCUCCCUCGCGGAGAUGAACAGAGCCUCCGACUUUUCUGUAUUUAAUUUCAGGUUCGAGAUAUGGCCGUAGUCCUUGAAAGCCUUUAAGAGGCUUGGCAAGGAUACCAGGGGAUUGCUGAUGAAGAAUAGCAUGUCAUCGGCAUAAGCAGCAAUCUUAUGGGUGGUUCCCUUCAGAGUAAACCCAGAUAUUCCCCCGUCCCGUCUGACCGCCACCAGGAAUGGUUCCAGGGAGAGGGCAAACAGAAGGGGGGAGAGCGGGUACCCCUGCCUCAUCCCGUUCCGGAUCUGGAACGCCAGUGAGAGGGCACCAUUUAUCCGAAUCCUGGCGUUCGGGAUCGUAUAUAGCGACGACACCCAUGCCAAUACGCACGGCCCAAAACCCAUCGCUAUUAGAGUAGCCUUCAUAUACUGCCAAUCCACGCGGUCGAAGGCCUUCUCCGCAUCCGUAAAGAGGAGAAGGAUUUGUUGUUUGAGCCGUCCAGCCGCGUGGAUGAUGUUCAGGGCCCUGAUGGUGUUAUCUCUCGCCUCUCUUUCGGUGAUGAAACCCACCUGAUCCUGCGCCACCAGGUCCGGGAGGACUCCGCUGAGCCGAGAGGCCAGGAUUUUUGUAAAGAGCUUCAGGUCGGCAUUCAGGAGGGAAAUAGGUCUGUAGCUCACACAGCUUGUGGGGUCCCUCCCCUCUUUCGGGAUGACCGUUAUUGUUGCAGUCAGGGUGUCCCUCGGGAAGGCACCCCCGUCCCGGAUGGAGUUGAUACCUCUAAGGAGUCUUAGCAAAAGCACGUCCCCGAAUUCCUUAAUGUAGUGGACCGGUAGGCCGUCUGGCCCCGGAGCUUUGUUCAGUUUAGCUAACUUCAGGGCUGCCUGUAAUUUCUCUAGUGUGACUGGUGCCUCCAGGGUUUCCAUGUCCUCCUGACUCAGGGUCUGAGUGACAUGUUGCUGUAGGUACGCUGUUAUCUGAGCUGUCCUCUCCUGCUCCCUGGCGGCUCGGUCUCCCUGUGGCAGAUUAUAGAGGGCCGAGUAGUAUUUAUGAAAUUCCUCCGCGAUUUUGUCUGGUAGUUGGGUCGCCGGUCCCUCUCGGGGCUUGAUUUUGGUGAUAUGGCACAUGCGCCUCUGUUUUUGCAGCAUCCUGGCCAGCAGUCUGCCACAUUUGUUUGAGUAUUCAUAAAAAAACCGCGUAGAUUUGCAUAUGGUGUGUUGUAAUUUUUGGGAGAGUAGGUUCCUGAGUGCCCCCCUAGCGUCCAGCAGGGCUUUGUGGAUGUCAUCUUCCUGCGUGGCUUUGUGCUUUCCCUCUAGUUCUUUGAUUUUCUGGAUCAAGCCAGACAUCUGUUCCUGCCGGUCUCGUUUUCUCUGCGUACAUACCCUGAUGAGAUGUCCUCGUAUGACGCAUUUAUGCACCUCCCAGGUGGUUAGCGGUGGGGUUUCAGGUGUAUCAUUUUCUUCGAAAAAGGUGGUAAUUGUGGCGCGCAGGUCUGUUACUAUGGGCAACUCCGUCAGGAUGGAUUCAUUCAUCCUCCAGUGGCGCUCUCGGGGUCUAAUUAGGGGGGAUUUGAUAUGAGUUGAGAUGGGUGCAUGAUCUGACCAGCCCAUCGUUUGUAUGUCCGCCAAUAUGAGCAGGGGCAGGAAUUCUUGGGCAAGGAGAAUAUAGUCCAGCCUACUGUAUCUCGAAUGGACCGAGGAGAAAUAAGAGUAAUCUCUAUCGGCAGGGUGUAGCAUCCUCCAGCAGUCCAUGAGGCCUGAUCCCCUCAGUGCUUCCUUGAUGUCUCGUAAACAAUGGGUCGGUAGUGAGCUGGCACCGGUGGAUGUGUCCAGUUGAGGCUCCCGGGCCACGUUGAGGUCGCCAGCCACCACGAGCAGUCCUUCCCGGAACCGCUCGAGUUUAUGCAGCGUGCUUCUCAGAAAGCGAUGUUGCCAUGUGUUGGGAGCGUAGAUACAUCCGAAAGUAUACUUGGUGUCCGCUAUCGAGCCUCGCAGAAACAGAUAACAUCCCAUGGGAUCCCCACAGACCUCCUCACAGAUAAACGGAACCGUGCUCGCAAACAGGACUGCGACCCCAGCUUUUUUAGCUGAGGGAUGGUUGGCGAAGUACCCCACCGGGUAUCUGGAGUCACGGAGCACCGGGCCAACCGUUCCCCUAAAGUGCGUCUCCUGUACGAAUGCGAUGGAGACCCGGGAUGCCCAUAGGGAGCGCAGGAGGUGAGAUCUACGUUCGAGGGCGUUCAAGCCCCUCACAUUGUGCAACCAUAGGUGGAGCGGAGCAGGCAAGAACCCCAGGCCCCCCGAGGGGCGGCGAGGCCGGGGCCCCUCAGGGCCAAAAGGGGGAGAGGGGAAGCCCCCCAGAGGGAGCACGGGCACAUGAAGGGCCAGGGAGGGACCCCCAGCUGGGCAGGGGCGGCAGGGAUGCAGAGGCAACGGGGAGAGCCGUGCACCUAGAUCAGGCUCUGCGUUCCCCCUGUGGGGGAGCCCCACCGGAUCCGGGGCGAGGCAGGCAGGAGCUGGACCCCGUAGCAGGGGUAUAUGGUAACUUGGUACCUGUGGUUUGGUGUCAAGUGGUGCACCCCUUAUCGGCGCUAACCCCACCACCCAAACCAGGGCAAUAAAGGUACCUGUCACUCGGGGUGCCCGCUGUGUAACUUGUUACUAAUAACUCUACCAGAGUAUGACUGGUAAGAUAGAGUGGAUAACUAAGGGUUUUGAGUGUGCGCCUCCCUGGCCGGGUUGGCUCGUGCUGCAUUAUAAUGCCAUGGUCAUAUACUCGCUAGUAGAGGCAUUACGUGUCGUGGUGUAGCAGUGUAGGUAUGAGCGGUAAGCCCAAGCGGCGGGCGAUCCAUCAUCUGUGCUCGCAUUGGGGUCUCUUCCAUGGGUCUAAGCAUGCCAACAGUGCCGGUGGGUUUGUGCUUAAUCUCUAAGUCCCUCGUUUGAGGUCCCUCCUGGGUGUCGAUGUAGUCAGGGGCCCUCCCUUCGGUCGGCAGUCAGGGUCCGGUCUUGUGAGUCCCAUCCCUGCCCAGGCCUCGCUAUUUCCCUACCAGCUAGGGUGUGAUAAAUGCCCACCCCUGUGUCAGUGUACUGCCUGUCAGCCGCUUGUAGUGUUGGGUGUGUAGGAGUGAGUCUGGUGUCGUGCCGCGUAUUGGCAGCAGGUCCCGGGCCGAAGCUUGAUGCCCCCUCCACCAUGCCGGGGACCCGGCUGGCCGCAGUCUGGAGUGCGGUGGUGCGCCUUCGUUCCAUACCAGGGGCCCUCCAGUCUCUAGACCCUCCGCGUUCCGCUGCCCCCCAUGCACCCUCCCAAAAGUAGGGGAACUUAAAGCCCGUACUGCAUCCCCCUGGCCCUGACCGUAUCCAUGGCUAGGCGUAGUGCCUGG